CCCUGUGGAAGACUAGUGAUUUUGUUGUUGUAUGGCUCAUCCCACCACAACAAGUCACAGUCUGCC
ensembl:miRNA